rnacentral:rRNA from 1 species
AGAUGGCGACCGGCGCACGGGUGAGUAACACGUAUCCAACCUGCCGAUAACUCGGGGAUAGCCUUUCGAAAGAAAGAUUAAUACCCGAUGGUAUAAUCAGACCGCAUGGUCUUGUUAUUAAAGAAUUUCGGUUAUCGAUGGGGAUGCGUUCCAUUAGGCAGUUGGCGAGGUAACGGCUCACCAAACCUUCGAUGGAUAGGGGUUCUGAGAGGAAGGUCCCCCACAUUGGAACUGAGACACGGUCCAA